CUUACAGAACAACAGAUCCUUAAGCACCCAAUAAAAGCUUAAACCCAAAACUAAAGUGAGGACAACCUUUCAAAUUCAAGCUCCUGGAGGCUAAGAUGGAGCUAAUCAAAGGCAAACCAAGAUCAGCAAAUCAAGACCUUAGUGACUAAGUAGCGGGGUAUAACCAAUUCAGACCCUCGAAGACUGAACUCUACUUUUUAAUGAGUCAAUGCCCAUGAAGAUUUUAGUUGUCCGGGAUGUCAAGUCCUCACUUUUCAAUGAAGGAUCGAAGAUGGGCCUCGAUAGAACAAAGAUGCCGUC
rnacentral:lncRNA from 1 species